rnacentral:rRNA from 1 species
AGAUUGAACGCUGGCGGCAUGCCUAACACAUGCAAGUCGAACGGGAGUAGCAAUACUCUAGUGGCGGACGGGUGAGGAAUACGUAGGAAUUUGCCCUUAAGUGGGGGAUAACCCGGGGAAACCCGGAUUAAUACCGCAUGACCUCGAAAGAGCAAAGUGGGGGAUCGCAAGACCUCACGCUUUUGGAGAAGCCUACGUCGGAUUAGCUAGUUGGUGAGGUAAUGGCUCACCAAGGCGACGAUCCGUAACUGGUCUGAGAGGAUGAUCAGUCACACCGGACUGAGACACGGUCCGACUCCUACGGGAGGCAGCAGGUGGGGAAUAGUUGGACUAAGUGGGACGACGAAGCCCUGGACUCCAGGACCAAUGGCCGCGUGUGUGAAGAGUCCGUU